GAUGAACGCUGGCGGCGUGCUUAACACAUGCAAGUCGAACGAGAACGGGUAUUAGCUUGCUAAUACUGUCAGCUAAGUGGCGCACGGGUGAGUAAUAUAUAGUUAAUCUGCCCUAGAGAGAGGGAUAACGUUUGGAAACGGACGCUAACACCUCAUAUGCCUUUAAAACAUAAGUUUGCAAGGGAAACAUUUAUGGCUCUAGGAUGAGACUGUACGGUAUCAGCUAAUUGGUGAGGUAAUGGCUCACCAAGGCAAUGACACCUAACUGGUUUGAGAGGAUGAUCAGUCACACUGGAACUGANACACGGUCCAGACUCCUACGGGANGCANCAGUGGGGAAUAUUGCACAAUGGAGGGAACUCUGAUGCAGCAACGCCGCCGUGGAGGAUGACACUUUUC
rnacentral:rRNA from 1 species